ensembl:snoRNA SNORA70 Small nucleolar RNA SNORA70
AGCCCAUUAAGUCCCCCAGGUUCCUUUCCUCAUGGACCUGGUACAAAAUGACAGCAAACAGCAGCAACGUUGGUAGUAUAUGCAGCCUGUUGUAUGCAUGGGUUGUCCUAAGGGACAUUGGAGACAGUU